CCCGCGGUGCCGGCGGAGGCAGCCCAGGCGCCCUCCUCCAUCCCCAGCGGGGGAGGCGCAGGCGGGCCACGCUGCCCACCGCACCCCUCUAAGGAGAGGCUCUGAAACAGUGGCUGACUGACUGAUAAAAACGAACACAAAACCACAAAACCCACCGCGUCUGCGUGCGGCUCACAGAUCCUACAACGGUCGCUGAGACCGGGGUGCAACUACCUUACUGAUGGGGAAUCAGACCAGAGGGUGUCCUCCCAGGUCACACGCUGAAGAGCUGUGACUCAUCUCACCCUACAUGCCGCCUCCAAGUGGCUGGCUGUGCGGCUCCACCCCCACCACAGUGUGUGAGCUGUUGUGCAGGUGCUGACAGAGCAAUACAACUAAACAAGAAACAAAACAAAAGCAUACAAUGAUCCCUACAACAACCACACAAACAACUACAGAG